AGAUGGCGCACCCCAGGAAACACCGAUCCCGGACGAGCCCCCAAAUGAAAGAUCCCAGUCUGAGAGACACCCUUAUUCAAGUCUUGGGAAAUCGCGGACCCGAGACACAGAGAGACCA
rnacentral:pre_miRNA from 14 species